GGGGACCUUCGGGGCCCUGUAACCUAGGGCCGCAAACUGCGGUCCUCAAGCUAGCGGAAGACAGAGA
rfam:Pseudorhodobacter antarcticus strain CGMCC 1.10836 genome assembly, contig: Ga0079835_1009